rnacentral:lncRNA from 1 species
UUUUUUUUUUUUUUUUUGUGUAUUUGAUUGGAGAAGUUUUCUUGACAUGAUGAUUGUCUUCAAUGCUAGAGCGGGCUCUUGCGAUUGCGAAGACGAUGUUGCAACAACUAUACAUCUUCGGCAACCACGUAGCUGUAUCAUGUCAUGUGUGGUAGUACUUGCAUUAAGUGUUUACAAUUGUGAAAAUAACAAUAAUGUGUAUUUAGACAGAAGAUUAUUCGGCUAAUUUUUCUUUUAACACAAUAUUGUUACACUUUUCAACGACGGUGAUAAAAUUAUAUAUGAUUGACGAGAUAAAAAAGUUGAUUGAAGAAAAAGCAUUUAUGCUGUGAAGUAAUCGAUUUUUUUUUAACAAAUAGUGCCCUAUCAGAAAGGGAGAUUGUUGUAAAUAAAUGGAUUUUGUCUCACAUUGGAAAAUCAAAGAGAUGGUAGCUGAGAUGGUUUCGCGUUCAUGAGAGGGAAGCUGAGUUGGGCCGAGUUCUGCUCUCUUAUGUCUUACAAGAAGUAAAAUUUACAUUUACAGAAAAGGAGGAUCAUAAUUUGCUCUAUCUUUCUUAUUACCGUGGAUAAAAAUAAAAAAUAAAAAUGUUGGGAGUCAGUCCAAUUCCGUGAGAAAAAAAGUAGGGAAAAAAGCGAAAAAAUGAACUCAAAUAUUAGUGGCCAUCUGAAAAGUCAAAAGUAACCAAGGAUUUUGUUGGGAGUAUAUAAAACAAUUUUUUUUUUUACUAUAUUUGUGUGUUUGAAGUGAGUUUCCUGCCUAAAUUGUGAAUAAGUCAGAAAACUUUGUUGUUUCUUCUUUCGUACAAGGUAUUGAAUAAAUUUGAUAAAUCUUGGGAUUUAAUUCAUAAUCAAAAAGGGCGAGGGACAAGGGAUCUCUAAAUGAAUGAAUCUUCGGACAAUUUAACUUUAAUUUGCUCAACUAUUUUCAACUAUAAAAGAAUUAUAAUUUCUACCUUCCAUGCAAUUAAGCUGUAAAUUUAAUGGAAAUAAUUUGAUUUUUGUGCAGUCAUGAAAUCAUUAAGUGGGAUUUGUGAGCUUCUGAGUGGAAAAAUCUUUUUACUUUCCUUGAAAUCAAUCUGCAAAUUCUGUAAAAGGGUUUUAAGCUAACAAUAACAUCACAAUUUACAACAUAGAAAAGUAGUAGAAGUCGAACUUCUAGAAAUGUAUUUUGCUUAUGUUCUUUUUAAUCAUGCUUAAUUGGUGAAUUGAUUUUCACUAUGUGGAUGUGGAUGUGCCGGAAUUAAUCUCUCCUGUGUAGUGGAACCACAUUAAAUUACAGAGCGCUCUUAUUUACUUAUUUUAUUUCCAUUUAUUUACUUUCUUUUUUUUUUUUGUUUAAAAAAGAAUCCAAACCUUGGAGGGGUAGGAGAAAAAUGGAUGGUUUAAAAGUUGAACUACAAACUUCAUGACAUUUUAGCUAAUGUGAUGUCUCUAUGGAUUAAGUUUCAAGGACACGGCAUGUAUAAUUUCAUGAAAUCACGAAUAUCAACAUAUGCUUAUGUAAUUGGUAGGAAUUCGAAACUCUUUUGGAUUCGAAACUCAUAGAAAUAGAAAUGACUACGAACUUGCAUCCUUCAAUUAUGAAUUAUUCUUGGAUUCGAAACUCAUGAAAAUAGAAAUGAUCAUGUUAGAAGAGCUUCCCCGCAUCGCAGACGAUAAGACAAACGCGGAUACAUGUGAUUUAUAAAAAAAAAGAUAAGAAAAGAAUUGCGAACAACGUACACGAAAUUAUACGUUCCCAUGUCGAAGUACUUUUACAGGGAGAGCCAUAGUUGGUCCCUGGGUCUAGUCCACCUAAUUCUUAGGCGUUCCUCUUCCAGUCCUUGGACAAGUGUCCGAAUUUGGUCAAGAUCAGUCCAAUCACCCUAACAGCAUUUAACGCUUUAUCAUUUCACAUAACCCAAAUCAUGCCACGGCGGUGUUUUACUGCAAGGUCAUAGCUCAUUCAAGAGUUAAUUAUGUCCUGGCCAAAUGACAGAGGCUUUGGGACCAAGUUGAAAUCCAAACAAGUUUUGCCACGGAAUCUUUCCUUUCCCCUUAUCAUAUUCCCACACAAAUUGUGAUUGAAUCAAUUUGGAAGAGAUGCAUUUUGUUUAUGUUAUUGUUUGUCCCCAGUUCCUUGCAGCUUCCACAUGCAAAGGAAGAGAGAAAAGGCAGGGCUAGGUUCAAUCCCUCCCACCCCCCAAACCUCAAAAAAAUGUCAGGAUACUCAUAUCUGACAACCUCCAAUUUAGAUACUACUAAUAAGAACCCAUAUAUAGCAUAUACUAAGCCACCACCCCAAUUGGCAGGCAGGAUUACUAUUUACUAGCUGAAUAACAAAUUGAAGCUAAGGGAAAGACAACUAGAUUUUCACAAUAAAUGCACUUAAUUUGACUCUUGUGCCUGAAUCACAAUUCCCAAAGAAUGCAUCUAUAUUGUAGGAGAGGCCAAACCUCAAGCAAAGUUUGAGAAAUAGAUGCCAAAAGGGGUGCUCUUCAUGCGACGCAGACACCCAUUAACACACACAAAUGACACCAUAGUGUAGUUAUUAAUGAGGAAACAACCCGGUGCCCUAUUCCCCACUAAAGAAGAAAUGAGGAUUUUCAAACUUUAUAGCAUACAUGCAUUGAUACCUGGAAAGAUCUUAACAGAUGAUUAUCAAUUGGUCUGUAUCUUCAUAUAAUUUGCUACAAACAUGUACAAAUUGAAACCACAUAAUAAUCAGAUUACUGCAACAAGGUCAUCGACCAGGAAUCCUAAACACCAAAACUUUUCAAAGUUUCUGUAGGUACCUCAUCGCUACCAAUGCUAAGAGCAAAGCUUAAUAUUUUCCAGAAAAUACUACUAUUAUAUUUAUUUGAAGGCAUUUUGAUGUAGAUAAAAGGUGACUCGAAACUGAGGAGGAGCAGCAGCGCAAUAUGAAAGUGAAGCUGAGGAGAUCAAAUCAAUUCAAACUUCUACUCCUAACGCAAGUGGAUCUCCAGUAUCAAGAUUUGGAAAGUCUUGAUGCAUUGUUUCUUCUUCUGAAUGAAAAAGAAGACAGGCAAGAAUUCUCAGGAACAAGCCGAUAUGUAGUAACAUAGAGGCACUUCCCGUUUUCAAACCAUGACUUGACAUUUAGCAGAGAGAAUGAUAGUCAACAGUAAAGAGGAGAAGCACAAAUCAACCCAAUCUUCUCCUCCUAUGGGGACGUGAAUCUCCACUGUCCACGUCUGAAAUUCUUGAAGCAUCAUUCCUUCUUCUGGAAGAUGAAGUGGAGAGUGAAACUGUGGAAUCUAUUUCAACUGCAGUAUCUACUGUCUGACUCUCCGACUGUAUGACAGCAGCGAUGCUUGAGAUAGAAUCUCUAUCAUCCACUGGCAAAGUUUGCUCCUGAGUCCUAUCAACGGGAUUGUUACGGAAGUAGGAUUCAACUAACCUUUCUGUAGAACUCAAGGUGGAUGUCAGAUGAGAGAUAGCAGCUUGAUUUGGAUGUGAUCUACGAAGCAAGAGUGACGAAAUUCGUCCGGCUUCCCCCACCUCUGAAUUGGUAGGACUGCUCUGUGUAAAGUCAACUACAUCAUCUGGUGAUAUUACAUUAUUCUGCUCUCUGCGCAUUCCUCUUGAUGUCAGGAUCCUGUUGAGCAGCGAAUGGCUUCUUUCAGGUGAGUCCCGUGAAGCAUCAGCAUUGUGGGAAUGAACCUGAUACAAAUCAUACCUACUGGUAAGACGCCGAAUCAUUUCCUCCAUAGGAACAGUAAAAGCAGUCCUCUGUAGAGAUUGUCUGAAGCUCUCAACACGUCGUGCUUGGGGCCUCAGAGGGAUUUUCAGAUUUGAAUCAUCCUCUAACUGUCGGGCAUUCUUUCCCCGGCCAUAGAUUGGGGUAACAGUUUUCAUGGUUACUUCCCCUUUACAAACUGGACACUCCUUGGCAUCUGAGUGAACAUGUAACCACCUAUAGAGGCAAGGCCAACAAAACAAGUGGCCGCAACAAGUCACAACAGGGUCCUUGGCCAGGUCCAAGCAUACAUUGCAAUCAAAAAAGCUUCCUGCUUCGCUAUUGCCCUUUUCAUCAUCGUCCUUUCCCAAAGCCUCAUCUUCCAAGAACACAUUAUUGUUCUCACACGUUUUAACCACAUCCACCGGUGCAUCCUCUGCUGCAACACUACCCUCACCAGCUUGUAAUCCACUCCCACCAAUUAGCUCCAUAGCAAUGUCCCUUGUUUCAAGUGGCACUUGUAGUUGUCUCCAAACCGACCGCCACCGUCUUCUCUGCCUAAAUGGUUCUAUAGCCCUAUUAAGAGGACCAUCACCUAACCAGUCCUCCAAAUUCAUGGUCUCGUCAGGAAACGAUCCCGACCUGGGCUCAGUAUUUUCGCUAGAAUGAUCAAUAGGCCCCAAAUUGAGGUCAAGAUUCAUCCCGUCUCCCAUCACAAAUUUAACAAUCCCCAAAAAAAAAAAAAUCCUUUCUUUCUCAGCUCAAACUCAACGAAAUCAGAAUCCCAACUCUUUGCCCUAAACCAAAAAAUCAUCAACCAUCUUCUUCUAGCUAAUUCACCCAAAACCCUAACUUUAUUUGAUCUUACAAGGGAAAAUUCAGAUAAAUGUCGACAAAAUGUAAUGCAAAAACUCUCAAAAUUUUGAUUAAAUGGCCUCAGAAACUUUCUGGUCAAAUCCUAACACAAUUUAGCCAGAAAAUAUAAAAUCGAAAAUCCUUUCGGUAAUAUCUGCCAGUCAACUCAAGGAAAAAUCUAUUCUUUUUUUUGGUGGGUCAAAACCCUAAUAUUUGUCAGACAAAAGAGGGGUAAAAGAUUCUGACCUCAGAAACAAUUUUCGCUAAUUUAACACAGACAAAUUAAAUUAACCACUUCAUUACAAGCAGCCCAAAAAUUAAAAGCAAAAAAAAAAAACCCAAUUCAGGGUUUACCAAAUAAGGAUAUAAAAAACAAAAAAAAAAUUGUAUAGACACAGAGAAGAGAGAGAGAGAGAGAGAGAAGGACCUUGUGAAGGGAUAUGAUGAUGAGCUGAAGAAGAAGAACUAGAGGCUUAAAGCUUAGAGUUUGAGUGAAAAUGGAGUGGGGUUUCCAUAUUGACUGUGAACAGGGAUCUGGUCUGCUUGUGUGUGUGUGUGUGUGUUUUGUGAUGAGAUUUUGUGUGAUUGAAUAGGACACAGCUCAGAGACAAUAGGGGAAGAGAGAGAGAGAGAGAGGGGGGGGGGGAAUCAGCUGCAUAGGCUGUGUACAGUGUUGUUGGGUGUCUUCCAAUCUUCACCAAUGUUUCGGGUUGUAAUCGUGCCAUGUCAGCAUUCAAGUGAGAUAUGGACCCACUUAGUAUGUGUGUGAUUGGUCCCCCACCUUUGCCUUUUUUUUUUAAUUUUUUUUCCGCUAUCCUCCUCGUUUUUUUUUUAGUUUUUUAAUUUUCCCACCUUAUGUGUUUAAUUAUUUGAGCUUUUUUUUUGUUGUUGUUGUUGUUGUUGUUGUUUUUGGUUGUUUUUUUUUUUUUUGGUUUAAAACUUAAAAAUAGUCUAAGAGGACAAAAGGCUCAUACAUUUCAAGCCUAGAGCAUACUGACCGCGCGUAAUCAGCUUAAAUAUUGCGCUUGAGUUGGUAGUGGUUAAUUUUAACGAUAACAUUUGUAUAACAUAUUCUAAUCUAGUCUAAGAGAUGGGAAGGGGGGGAAUUUUUAACUGACAUGAAAUUCGUAGAGGAAAUCACUCGAAAGUAACAGUCACAAAUUUUGGGUAGAAUAUAGUUUGUCUAAGAGGAUAUAAUAGAUAACAAAACUGUUAUACUAUUGUAGUUGUUUUUAGAGCUUUUUUUAUCGAGGUGAAUUGUAUGGAAUAUUUGAUGUUGAAUCUUUAUUCGUGUAUAUUAUAUGCACAAGAGUUACGAAAGAAAUCACUAGUCGUUGAAUAUUGCUUGAAGGUGUUAGUAAACAGAUAAUUGCUAACCAUACAUUCUGUGCCCAAUGAGCACAAAUUGGACUCAAAUAAUUAUGUCAUGGCAGAUAAGGAACGAAGCUUUAGCUCAGAUAAGCUCAACCCGAUUAAGGCGAAGCUAUUCCAACUCUAUCCAUCACAUAAAAUCUCUAUUAGACACAUUAUUCAAUACAACAAAUAUAUAGUCAUUCUUGCAAAGCAAUUAGUGAUGAAGAUUUUGUUGAUACUAGUUAAUUUUAUCCUUUUGUUCAUGCAAUGUAGUUUGUAGUCAUUUAAUUCUAUUUCUAUAAUCUAAUUUAUCAUAUUCUAGAUUAAAUUAGAUCAAAAGAAUGUUUUGAUAUUUUUUUAAAAUCUUUUUCACUGUAAAUGGGGAUCAAACUUCCAACUUAUAAUCUAAAGAGAGAUUUAAUUCCUUUUUGGUGUCCACUGAGUUAAAAGCUGAGUGGUUUCUAGCCAUUUAAUUGUAGUUGUAGGACGAGCAGGGUUGGAAAUCUAAUGCAUUAGGAGGGUUGUAAUUGGACCUUAGAUCUGUGACCGUAAAAGAGCCCGGCUUUGACUUAGAGCUUAAGUCGGUGGUAACGAUCCUAAUUACGCAAGCGAAAACACAGAAAAAAUAAAUUAGAGGCUAUAGGAAUCAAUCUUUGUUAGAUUGAGUAAACAAAUUAUGAUAUCGACAGACUCAAAGAUUCACCCUUUCACGUUACCUCCUCAAUUCACAAUUGUUGAACUUGUGGCAUAAUUGCAACGUUGAUUGUCCAAUCAAGUGCCAAAGUACCUUUGGCUUUAUAUGUAUUGGAGGGGCAACAUCAGAAUUGUCUCCCAAAUUGAUGAGGUAUGUUAGUUUGAACAGAAGGUUAUUUUUUUAAAUAUAUUUGUUUAUAUUAUUAUUAUAAUUUUUAAUAUAAUUUUUUAUUUUUUUUAAUAAUUUUUUUAUUUCACAUACAUCACAGCGUAAAAAGUGCUACAGUAAAAAUAUUUCAAAUAAUUUACAAUCCAAACAACCAACCAAGGGCAAAAUUGCAAAAGAUUGAUUCUAAGGACUUUGAUUGGCGCAUGUUUUAGGUAUGGAAAUUACGCCCUUCCUUUCCUCCGCCCUUCUUUGAAGAAACAAUACCCUUAUUUUUUCCUUCAUUUUUUUAGCUUAUUUGUUUAUAAGAUUGACCAAAUUCCUCCCCACUUAUUGAAAGGUGUUAAUGAAUAAAUCCAAUCCUAUAUUGGUCGCAAAAGUAUUUGAAGCGCUUGAAUUCAACUUGCCUUCUACUUUUGUUUGGCCUCCUUUGUAAAGGCUCACCUUUCAAUUGAUCCGGUGACUCAAUAGUCAAUAGCUUAUAUUCUUCUUUGCCGUAUAAAAUACCAUAUGAUGCAUAUGGAGGAAAAUUUUGAAGAUUAGAGAAUUGACCCAACCUUACAUUAGGCGCAUUGUGGGGAAUGGAAUUGGAACAAAUUUCUGGUUUGACACGUGGCACUCCAUCGGGCCAUUGUACAAAAAUUUUACAGGUAGCCUUCUCUAUAUAGUCUCUGCUGUAAACCAUCUGCUCAGGAGUCUGGAAUCAGAAAUCAUAGCGGAUGGAAAGUCGAAAUGGACCAGGGGAGCAAUCGUUUCUGAAAGUUAUGAUGCUAUGGGCAUUUUACACGUGGUGUAACACUGUUUGCGCCCUGCAAUUGUUUCUAAAAAUUAUGUAUAUUUUACAUACGGUAUAAUUCUGAUUGCAUAUGAUGAAACUCAUUUUCAAUAACGUGUAAUUUUAGAACAAAAUUUUGUGGGUUCUACACAUGUUGUUAAAAACAAGAUACAAGAUGAGAUCUGGACAGUAUAAUUUUUUUUUUGGAUCAAAUUUUGACCGUGAAUUGUCAGGAAAGCAACCAUUUCUGCCCCUCUUCCAGUGGAAAUGGUCAUUAAAAAAACAGUUGGAAUCCUCUAUAUCAAUAUUCGGUGCCAAAUUCAGUGCCAAUCCCACUUAUUACAUAAUGGUAUAAGAAAUUUAAAUAAAUAGCACGUGAUAAAUUAAAUAAACGGGACACUUGGCAUAAAUAUAGAAGUGGCACUGAAUUGCCACAGAAAAAAUGGCACUCAGGAUUCCCGUGUAUUAAAAAGACGAAACGGCAGAAGCGAAGAUAUUAAAAGAAGCUGCACCUGACUGUUUUGUCCCCUUGAUGGAAUUUGAGGAUCAGGUUGGAUGGGAAGGAGGUACAUCCGGUGAGUUCAAUACAAAAUCUGUCGUGAGGGUGUUAUGUGGUUCGAGGGAGAAGAUGGUCUGGGCAAAGUUGGUUUGGGGAAAAGGAUAUGUUCCCAGUAUGCUUUUAUCUUGUGGAUGCUGUGUAAAAGGAAGCUAUCUACCAGAGAUAGAUUGCAAAAGUAGGGAGUGCCUUUGCUAUCCAGAUUGAGUGGGCUUUGCAACGGGGAGGAAGUGAGCAUGAAUCAUUUGUUUUUCAAUUGUUGUGUAACCAAACCACUAUGGGAUAAAGUACAGCAUAUGUGUCUGGUAUUUCGAGGGUCUUAUAUGUGGGAAGAGGAGCUUAAUUGGCCUGCAAAUCAUUGGAGAUCUAAUUCCUUUGCUGACCAAUUGAGGAGGCUGCCUCAAGCUGCGACUAUGUACCAAAUCUCGAGGCUUAGAAAUGAGGCAAUUUUUCAAUCAAAGCCUGUCGACGUUUCUGGACUUCUAAAAACUAUCGUUGAAGCAGUAUGUUAUGUAACUAGUAGUUGGUCAGGUUUUCCAUGUACACGGCAAAAUUGGGAGCUUGUCAUGGAAUGGGGGUUGGAUUGGAAGUGUUUGUCAGAAUUAGGGCUGCAAACGAGUCAAAUCGAGUCGAAUUUUGAGCUAAUCGAACCGAGUCUCGACUAAAUUUUAUCAAGCUUGAGCUCGAUGAGCCAGCAAUUUUCGAUCUCGAGCUCGACUCGAAUCAAGUCGAGCCGAGCUCGAGUUCGAAAAAAAUAAUUAUUUUAUUUUUAAAAAAAUAAAAAAAAAUAAUUAUUUUAUUUUAAAAAAAUAAAUAAAAUAAUAUUUUUUUCUUAAUAAAUAAUAAAAUAUUGAGGAUAUAUACGUAAUUUUACUAUAAAAAUAAAAAAUAAAAAAUAUAUAUAAUAUACAUAAUUUUAUUAUUAAAUAAAAAUAAAAAUAAAAAAAUAUAUAUAUACUCAAGCUCGCGAGUCUAACGAGCUUAAUAUUCUGAGCUCGAGUUUGACUUGAGCCGGCUCGAGCUCGAUUAAUAUCGAGCUCGACUCGAGCCGCUCGCGAGCGGCUCGAUUCAUUUGCAGCCUUAGUCAGAAUAGAGGAGAGAUACUAGUGUAUAUGAUACGUAAAUGGUAGUAUGAUUGAAGGGUGAUUACCCAUGUGUACAAACUUUACUGCUGAGAUCAAGAAAAGUGUUUCCAAUUUCCCAAAAAAAAAAAAAAAAAAAACUUUGUACUGCUUAACUGUUGGCAUCUUUGAAGGAAAGAAACUUCUGUUUGCAACUUUUGAGAGCUCAACAAAGACCAAUCACUGGUGUAACCGUGUAAGGUGAAAAACAAAAAAAAUUGAAGGGUAAUCAUAUUUCAGGCUUGACUAUUGCAAAGUUUCACAUGCCCAAUUGGGCCAAAAAUUGCAAUGGUAUCUAGUAGUAGUACAAGAAUUCAACAUCUUUAUGGAUUGGAAAGAAUCGAAAAUACCAAAAACUUACUGUUUAGAACAUCUUUUUUCUUCUCUUGGGUACCAAGUUCCAAUUUUUACAAUUCUGGGAGCCAGCUUGUAAAGUGGAGUAUCUCGAACUGUUCUGCAAAAGCUUUCAUAGAUUCCAUCAAUUAACCUUCUUACAAUCUGACCUGAUCUCUCCAUUAGUACCUGUUAAAGGACUAAUAUUCCCCAUAUUGAUCAUGGAUUGCGCGAAGCUUUGGAAGAAUGCAUUCUGAUUACUACUGAAAGUGUUCACUAUGGAAAUCGUUGCAGCACCUGGAGUGGAGAACAGCUCUUGAUCUGAUUGAAGCAGGCCUUGAUUGGUUUGGAGGUUAGAGAAAUAGUUAUUGUCGAAUGUAUUAGGUGUGGUAAAAUCAAGAUUGGCCAAAGCAGUUGUGCUCCCAUUCUGUGGGCAUAUCUGGCGCAAGGUAGCCAAGUAUGUUGUGUUUAGUGAUGGAUCAGGAUUGCCAGAUCCACUGAAGUUGUAAAGUCGACUGCUGAAUAAUCGACAUUGAGCUCGUCCAAAUGUGUGAGCCCCUAACAAGAUUUUAUUCACAGGAAGUUAGGAAACUGAUAUGCUUGAGUACAUCUUUAUGAUUGUGGGAUCUUAUUUAGCGUGCAAAUUACCAGACAAUGCUACAAGAUCAUUUAUGUUGAGUCCAACGGCGGUAAACUUUGCAGUAAUGUUGCUUAAGCUUUCAAAGGGAGCGGGAAUAGAGGUAUUGGCUCCUGCUUGAUUUGCUGUCUUGCUGUCCCUCCUCCCCAGUAGCACAUUCCAUGAAGGUCCUCCUGACUGUACAAUCCAAAGAAAAGUAUAUGUUUUAGUUCAAGUUUCCUUUCAAGCUGAUUAUUAUAAACACUGUUCAUUCCCAGAUUGAUUCUCUUUUUUUUUUUUUUUUUUGGCCCAUUGGGUAAUACAAUUGAGUAACUUUUUGAAUCUCGUAUACUAUUGAGCAAGGAUCCGACCAUCAGUCUAUAAUGACAUGGAAUCACUUCUACAAUACAGAAUCAGAAGAGAAAAAUAUCUGCAAAUUGCCAAUCCUGAACCUGUAAAUCUUGACAUUACAAAAUGCAAAUUUGAGGCUGAGAUUUUAAAACUCUGGUGCUCAAUUUGUCCCACAUAUAGGUGAAAAAUGGAGUUUGACAUGGAACAUAUUGAGCCUAAAGUGUCUGCUUUAUGUUCAGUAUUAUCUUUAUUUGUUCAGAUACCAAUUAUCUGCUUAGCGUGAAACCAAUCCUAGAGCAGAAGGCUGGUGGGAGUUGGAUAGAAGGUCUUUUAACACUUCAGGGGUGCCUCCUUGCAAGUAGCUUUUUUGCUUGCAAGCAUUAGGAUUAAGACUUGUUGGGAAAAAUGGGACAAAAAAUAAAAUUACAAGAUUGAAUGAAAAGUUCUUUAAUGUUGGCAUACCAGAGAGACAGAUGAUUCAGCAGCAAGUGCCAGAAUAUCUGCACAAGAGACAAUACCAGGACAAGAAUUUUCAACAGCAGUCUUUAUCUUGUCAACAACAUCAAAACCGCGAGCAGAGUUGGUAUUGGGAGCUGCAUCUUUCUCACUUCUCAAAGUUCCGUUGUUAUCCAGUAAAAUCGAAGCAUCACAUCCCUGAUGACAACAAACAGUUCUCAGAAGAUUAAGCGAUUGAAAUGAUAAAAACCAGUUUACUGUUCUUAAUUUUUUUUAAAGAAACUUCUAUAAGAGUAAAAAAAAAAAAGGUACAUCAACAAAGCAAUCGUGGAAAUGAAGUCGAAUGAGGCUUGCACCAAUACGCGGAUCAGACUGCAAAGCCUGUUGUAUGACAUUUUGGACAAUGGCAGAUACAUUUGGACAUGUGUUUGAGUAAAAUGUUGCAUUCAACUGAGCAUUCGAUACAUGCAGCUGAAUUGCACCUAAGAAAAAGCUGGUUAGUACAAAGAGAGACGGAAAAGAAAGCGUUUUCAUUUCGUUCUUUUUAACUGGAAGCAAGCAAACAAUGUAAAUUUGCCUUGUACAAUUAGUGACUCGGGAUCUACGCAUUAUAUAGGAAAACAAGCCUGUUCUUUUUGUCCCCCGGAUAGAAAAUGACUUUGGUACAGAUAUGGCAAAAAAAAAAAAAAUUACUGUCUUUAUCUUUCUGUUAGUGUUAAGCAUCAUAGUCAACAAACGAAAUAGUAGGUCAUUUCUUGGAUGCUUCACCGCGUCCAGCCUUUGGGGAAGGAGAAUUGGUCUUGGUGCAUUUUUUUUUCUUUUUUUUGAGCAUACAAUCUUCAUUCACAAGGUACUAAUAACUAUGUACAACAUGAAUUAUUACUAUUCCGCAGCAGAAAUUUGGUCAUAAUUCGAUUUAACAACUAGGGCGAGUAGCAAAUUAAACGUACUCUUGCCCAUCUAAACUCUUUUCCUUUGUCUAGGCAUACAAUACAUGGUAAUCCAACUUCAAGGUUAACUCGGUACUGACAUUUCAGUGUCAUAUUGCCUCAAGUAUGUGAAACAACUCCACCAAUUCAAAGGAAAAAUGGACACAACACGAUUGACUAAUCAGGGUAAGGAAUGAGGAUGGUAGCUUAGCUGGGAAGAAUGAUUGAUGGCCGAUGUGGGAAUGCAAACCAUAACAACCAAGUCAAACAGGAAAUUUCCAUUCGAGUUGUUACCAGCUUUAAUCUGUGUUGGAGCUAACUUAGGGUGGGGGCUGGCGCCACUAAAAGAUCACCUCAUCAACAAAAUAAUUCCCUUGAAAUCUUUGCUAUCAAAGACAAAUACUAUUUGUCGGUCAUUCCUUUGAAUUUUAAAAGAUUCCUUGCUAAACAACGCGUACUUGUUCAUAAAACACAGAACACAUUGAUUGCUUCAUGGACUAAAAAUAGUGAAAUGCUGUCUGAGACUAAUUGCAAAUCUAACCUUAGGUACCAAGAAAUCCGAUCUUAAAACUUUUGUCAUCCCAAACGACGUUCUUUCAUGUUCUAAUCACCUCAUUUGGUGCUCGUUUUGAUAUUAAAAAACACAACACAUGAACUAACACAAGGUUAAACUCCGCUAUGUGCAAUUAUAUGGGAGGAAAGCACCAGAGUCUCAUAGUUUCCAGUCUUUCAUUUUUUAGGCAUCUAAUCAUUUGAGAUUAAACAAGUUCUGAAGGGUAUUAUAGGAGAUAGUGUAGGGCUAAUCAAUCGAGUAAUUCAUCAAACGGGACUGCAGACAAAUUAUGCACUUAAUCUUGUAACUGAUCACCGGUGAACCUCUAGUACUGUUUUUGUUCUAACUGCAACAAUUUAAUUGCACUUGUUAUUCGAAUUACGGUUGAAGUUACCAUGCUUUUAACUUGACAACAACAGCUUCUUAUCAGCAAUGUUUUCCUUUGUUGCCGUGCGGGAAUGAGGCAAGUCUACUCUGCUUUUACGUCCAAUAGCCCGGCUAGGUAAAUGGUUUCAUAGCAUAUAUUGAUAUUUUUCAGGAUUUUUGGAGUACCUAUUAGUUCUCUACUUUUGAAAUAAAGAGUAAAGUUACUACCCGAGUGCCGCAUCAAUGCAACGCUGUAAUUAGAUUUUAGAUUCAAGAAAGUGGCCUUUAUAACUGGGGAAGAUCAUAGCGAAGAAGUCGAAACCGACGCAAGGGCUGGUGAAUUAUGCUUGUUCUGGGAUUCUCAAUCUCCAGCUAUGGUCCUGUUUCAGCAGUCUGAACUAAGGCCACUCAAGUAGGGAACUAACCAUGCCAGCAGCAUGUAAGUGCUCUCAUCUUUACUCAGCUAAUUUUUGUGUGCUGAAAUCCCAGUUAAUCUUUCAAGGGUCGGGCACUUUCUCAUUCCAAUUAAGCGUGAAUUGUGAUUAUGAUUGAAAGUAGUUGGUGAGAGUUGUUGAUGGUGAUUAACUGCAAUCUUUGAAAAUAUAGUCACUGAUUGACUAAGGAUGCUAGUUGUUUAUAUGGAAUCCAUGAUCUUCGGUUAAACUGUCAACCAUUUACUGACUCUAUGGUUUAAUUAAGGAUCUUUCAAUUUUGAGUAGGCAGGUUUGGAAUUUGACAGGCCUUGAUCAAUAAUCUAUACCACUGGAUUUCAAAGUUUCAACCCUGAAAUACUUCUUUUUAGACUCUGCAGUUGGCUGUAUAAGAUACUUUAAUUUGCAGGAAAGACUUGUCAUGCAAGACUAGUCCACUUGACAUUUCAAGCCGUAUAUCUAGUGACUUGGUCUUUUGUAUACUUAUCAGUGAAAUUCUUUUUACGAGACUAGAUUAAGACAUUUGUUCCAUGUAUAUAAUAUCUCGUCAAAUGUAAGAUAUUUAUGUGACGACUAAAUCUAGAGGAAAAUCUCGCUAUUAUUAGAAGUUGGAGGGCAGAAAUUUAGGGUUUGGUAUCUUGAGAGGAUAAUUAAAAUAAUGGAUCCUGUCGUGUUUGGAUUGCCAUUUCUUUCGAUUUUCUAUAAAAAAAAUAUAUUAUGCUGAUUUGAUAUAUGUGAAAUAAAAAAUAUUUUAAAAAUAUAGUCACGAAAAAUAUAAAAGUUUUUCUGCAGUCCAAACAAGACAAUUUUUAACUGGAAAAGGAUAAAAAAAAAAAAAAAAGACGAACUCCAGUAACCUUAGGGAAGAUGGUCCAUCCGUGGUAGUAAAAGCAGAUAAAAGAGGGGGGAUUGGUUGGCUUUUGGAAGCCUUAGCGUUGCGUGUGAAAUGGAAAAGAAAAAGCUCACUACUUCCUUAGUUUCAUUUCACAAAAAGUACUAACGUAUUGAAAGCGCAAUUAGUAUUGUUUAUGAUUGUCGUUCAACUUGGAGAGAUUUAAAAUUUGUAUGUGGGGAUGCAUCUUUAGAUUGUAAUUAAUUAAUUAGUUAGCACUCGAAAUCGAAUCCCCUUUUAUUCAAUAUUUUAUUAAUUCAACCAUUACAAUUUAGUAGAAGUCUUCCUUGCAUCCAGACGGGAUCCUCUGUCCAAUUUUUUGUGUCCAAUUUUCUGUCCAACACAAGAUUACGUAGUUCCAUUUAUUCUUGUGGCUGACGUGGCACAUAAAAAUAAAUGCCUGUUUGGCUCAAGCGCCAAGCAACAGCCCUGUCAAAUUGUAACCAUUCACCGUGAGUUCCUCCAAAGCAAACCACUAGCCUAACGGAAAGACAUAGCAAAAUUUGAGACAAACAGAGAGACAAUCAAAUCCUUGGAAGUACAAAGCAAAAUUUGCAGCUGGGCCUAACGGAAAGAAUAAUCUAAAAAAUUGGUGAAGGAAAACAAAUUGUCUUUCUCGCUUUCUUUGAAGGAAAACAAAUUGUGUUUUAACAUUUUCAGAUAGAAAAAGUGUUUCUUGUACCUUUUGCAAUCUAUUUUUUAUUCUGGUAAAUUGAUUCCUCUUUUUGUUUUUUAAGUAGAAUUAUGUCUUCAUUGAUACAGUGUUCAUUUAAUUUAUAAUCCAUCUCUUGGGGAAAUAUGGUUAAAAACUGACAUAUUUCAUUGGCUUGGUUGACAAAGGUGCUAAUUGAAUGAAAAACCAUGCGAUGGAUAAAAAUUGAAAACCUUUAAACAUCAUGGAGACUUCUGCUAUUUUAAGAUGUAAUAGCUGUUUUCUUUUCUUACCCCCCCUUUUCCCAGAGAGAAAAAAACACCACCCCACCCACAUACACACAUUUUAUAAGGCAUACGGAUUGUGGUGGUAAACAAAUAUAUGUGCUGCAAUUUGGUUCACGAUGAUUGUUGUUUCAGAUGUCAAUGCCUAGAAGAUUAUAUGCUUAGCCAGUUUUUUUAUUUUUUUAUUUUUGGUUUUAUGGAAUUAUGUGUUUCCUUUUCACAUACAGUGAUUUUUGUGAUCACUGCUAAACCGGGGGAAUUGUUAUGGUAGUAAUAGGGUUUUGGGAAUUGUAAUAAAGAUAUGUAAAUAAAGGAAAUCCAAAAAAGAAGAGAGAUCCAAAAGUAUAAUGGAGCCAAAUAGGCAUUUAUUUUUAUGUGCCAUGUCAGCCACGAGAAUAAGCGGAACUACGUAGUUUUGUGUUGGACAGAAAAUUGGACAGAGGAUCCCGUCUGGCUUGCAUGCCAUCGGAAGAUUCCAGCCGCAAAAUAACUAACUUAAUAGACAUCCAUAUUUAUUGUUUCGUGCUCAAAUUAACUUGAUUUUUACUCAAUGUUAGUAAAGAUCUCUUUUAACCAGUGCGCAGCAACACUCAUUAGCAACACCGUUUUUAUUUGGAAUAGCACAAUAGGCAAGUUUAAGGUUGCGUUUGAUAAAUUCGAAAAUUGAAAAUUGAAAAUUGAAAAUUGAAACCUGAAAUCUGAAUCUAUUAAAUUAUUAAAUUGUUAAGUAGUAAAUUUGACAUAUUUGAGUAUAUAUCACAUUAAACGAUAAGUAUAUAACUUAUCACUUAUUCUUUAGAGCAAGUUUUACCAAAAAAAUUCAAUGUCAUUUAAUUGAUUCAAAUAUCAAUUUUUUACUAUUAAGAUAUAGAAUUGGAGACAUUUCAAUAUACAUAUCUAGAUGUUAUGAAUAGAAUGCCAAAUAUGCCACUCCAUUUAAUAUAAAAGUUUGCCACCAAGUACUUUCCUUGUUUCACCAAGAAUGUGUGCUCAGCAACUAGACUUGUCAACGGGUCGGAAUUGAAAAUUCCGAACCCAAAUCCUUUUUAAUGUUAGACCCGGAUCUGACCCAUGUACCCAAUGGGUCUUGUGCUGAAGAUUUCAAAACUAGAUCCGAUGGGUCUCAGGUCGGGUCCGGGUCUACUCGAAAAGAAAAAAGAUCCAACAUAUAUCAUUCAUUUUCUUUUAUUCAUGUUAGUAAAAAAGGUCAACAUGAUCCCAAGAUAUUUAACAAAAAACACUUAUAUGCAAUUUGUGAUGAAUACAUUUUGGUCAAACAAGUUUGCCUCUUCCAAAUCCUAAUUUCUUAGAUGUUUCAUUUAAGAUAUAGGUAAUUUAGUUAAUUUGGUAAAAGAAUACUUUUGUUAAUUUAGUAAAAAAAAUGUAUUUAGAAAUAUUUAUAUUUUAUAAUUAUUAAUGUAUUUUUUAAAUUCGGGUCGAAAUUCUAUGUUUCAUAUCUGACUUUUUUUUGUUAGAGUAAAUAAGUAUGAAUCUAGAUACCGGAAUUAUUUCUCAACUUGGAAAAAAUUACCGAAUCUAGGCUAGGUCCGAGUACAAACUUGACCCGUUGAUCGCCCUGUUAGCAACUAUGUUUUCUCAUAGCUUUGUCCCUUAAAAUGGGCCAAAAUUUAAACUCUUUCUCUGUUGAAGUGAAGUCUUGAUAGUGGACAGGCUUGAUGCCCAAACCGGAAGACAAACCCAUCACAAAAGAGUUGAGGCCCUUUUAAGUACGCCAUUUCCUCGCAGAAAUAUUGCCCUAAGUUGUUGACGACCUGAUUCCCGGUGGCCGGUCAAUCUCCAAAAGUCCGAAUGCAGGUGGAGUUUUCGUCAACCACGUGGAUUGCUGAAGUGCUGACCUCAACCCACGAAGAUUCAACAACAUGACCUGGUUUAGCUUCUUUCUGUUACGAUAGCCUAUCGUAGUCUCGUUUGCUUGUGCCACGGUGGAAACUAAGGCUCUGCUUGGAUUGCUUGUUUCCGUCAGAAAAUAUUGUCAUUUUUCGUGAUCAUAUUUUUCUAUCACCUUUUUCCCACACAUAUAUCAAAUCGCUACAGUAAUUUUUCCAUGAAAAAUGACGGAAAAUGCAAUCCAAACACAACUUAAAAUUAAGUACUAAAGCCAACAUCAUCGACAAAUUUAUAAAUAGUUUGGAUUUUUUCCCUCAUAUAGUUUAAGAAAAAUUAAUUAAUUUUAUUGAAAGAUUAAAUCUAAUCUAUUAUCUUUCUAAAUACUCUUAUAUUAUUAAUAUUACGAGUAUGACUAAUCAUUAUACAUUUACAUUAAUUAUAAAAAUAAUACCGACAGAAAGUUGUACCAUUCAAGGCCUGAAUCAAAACAAUUAUUGAAUAAGAUAAGUUAUAUUCAUGGAUAACAAAGUACAUUAAAUAAAUAAGGAUAUUUUGGAGAAGUUGAAAGUUAACUAACUAUAUUUUUUAAUUGAAUAGUGGAUUAUAAUUUGGAGCUAAUGAGAAAGGAAAUAAAACCAUUAAAAUGGAACAGAGGGAGCGCAAACCAACUAUACUUAAAUCCCAAUUAAUCAACAUGAAUUAUCCAGUCCCUAGGGGAACAUCUGCUAAAAUUGAGAUGAUACAGAGAACAUUUUUAAAAAUUUUUGAACACUAACUAUCCCAUCAAUUCUUAUUAGGCUUUAAACAUUAACUUUACGUCCGUUUACUUUUGUGCGCAGAACGCCAAGAGAAGAGUCAAGCAUAUUUUAUAAAGAAAACACAAAUGCUCACGGAGAAAUUUAUACUCUUUAAUAAAUUACGUGAAGUAUUUUCCAUUGGGUACGUUCUGGGCUCUGAUUUAUUUGAUUAUUACACAUUUAGGCUCAGAGAUGCAACCAUACUGCGUACCUUCCAGUUACCUAUGCAGCAGUGCACUAAAGGGGAAUAUUAUUGUCACCAUAGAGAUCAUGGUAUGUACCAACGAUUGUUUUGAUCAAGUUAUUCUUACACAGCAUACCUUUCUUGAUUCAUCUCGUUUAACUAACACUCAAAGAAUGGUCUUAUUUGUUAAUGGGAGUAGAUUUCAAUAUACUUUUCCUUCUGUUCUGCGUUCCAAAUCCUCUCGAACUCAAUCACUCACCUCCAAUUCUAUUGGUGAACGUGAACCUGCAUCAUGUCUUUUCUCUAGUAGCGUCCAAUUGAAUUUUUCUUGCUGCUAUCUAGUUGCCUUCCUCGUGGAUGUCUUGUGGACACUCAACUUCUUUUAGGCUUCUUAGCUAGGGAGCUGAGUUGGAUUUCAGCAAAUAGAUAGAUACAGCUUUCUGGAUUGAUUUUGAAGCAAACUUGAUUUGGUAUCUCUUUGUUGUAGCAUUUCUUUAAUCUAUCUAUAAACUGCCUUCGGUCAUGGCAACGAGCAAAUAUGUACAGGGGAAAAAAGACAACGGGCCGGAAUGUGUAAUCAUGGUUCCGGCAAAUGAAAAUGUUUUUAUGCAGUGUAGCUCUUGCGAUGGAAGAAAGCUAGCUUUUGGGAUAUGGUUCGUCAUGAAAUAUACAAAUGAAGACUUGAUGGAUGAUCUCAUGGGAACCAUCGGACUCGGAUCACAUAAUGGGGUGAUGCCCUGGAUCUGGUUUCAUGCUCAAGUGGAUCCGGGCCGGAUCUUUCUUAAUCAUCAGAAAUGUUCCAAUUCAGUUCGACAACUUUGCAUGCUUCUAAGUAGUUAUUUUGUUGCAAAAGGUUAUCUUAAUCGGUUCAGACAAUUUCUGAUCGUUUGUACCUUUUACGAAAAUAUAGUUUUUUGUUUUUAAUAGAUGAACAAGUUUCAAACAGACCAAUCAACUUUGAAAUUCAUCAUUCUAAGUGAGAAAAAUUAGAUUUUGCAGUCUAUUUUUUCUCCUCUUACCGUAUCUUAUGAGUAAAUUGUUACAAUUCAGAAGCAAACUAUCUUCUUGUUAUAGUAGAGGCAAUUAAAACUUUAAGAACAGUGUUGCACACAUUUCAGCAGAUCACCUUCCUUUCCCAUUUGCUCGUGUAAACUUUUGUGUUAAUAGUUUUCUGUACUUUCUUAUACCAAGUUCAUCAACAACAACGACUAAACAAAAGGAGAGCAAACUAUUGCAGACUAAUUCAAGAUUGAUGCGCGGAAAACCAAUUUUGACGAAGAGGAAGAUAAUAUAGAUCUGGGAUUGGGCUUAGGUGCAAAAUGAGAAACUGAAAAUCGGGUGGUGAAGUGUUGAAACUUGAAAGCACGACACGAUCGAAGGAUGAACAAGGUAUCGAAGCCAUUAUAGGCUCGUGAAUAACAAUAUGAGAUUGACUUGAUGUUGAGGAAUUAAUCCUCAUCGUAAUUGGUGAGGGACCAACAAAUCUUAAUCUUCAGCCAGCCAGCAUGAAAUGCCAUGAUCCUAACUAGCUAGCUAGAAGUGCUUGAUAAACAUUUAAGGCUACGAAUCUCUGCAGUGCAUGCAGACACUCGAGCGUACCAGAAUAUCAUGACCAUGCAAAGAUAAUUAUGAGGGCCUGUUUGUUCUGCAAUUGCAGAAGAAUACAGUCUAUUUCCAUCAUGGUAUACAAUGAAAACCAUCCGAAACUUUUGGUUAGCAGCAUGAUCUAUGGAUGUACAGCCUUGAUAAAUCUACUUCAUGAUGUAUGCUAGAAUCCUUGAAUGUCUGCAGAGAUGAUGAUAUAUAGCAUUUCCAUUUCGGUUGUUUUGCUAUUCAUUCGACCGGCAGUCUUUAAGAAUAAAACAAGAUAGAUGUUUGACAAAGUAUGCCUAAUAUGCUUUUUAUUUUUCCCCUCCUUCUUGACCUACCAAGUCCAGGCAUUUCAUUUGCUGGUGGCGUAAAACUUAUAUAAGUGCCAAAAAGUUGAGAUGUAUUAUAUCGUCGUUUAUGCAUACUCCAGCUUCUCUUUUCCUGCUUUUGCCAUCACCAAGCAAAAUGAUGUGCAUAAGUAAUAUAUUUGUACACCUGCAGCUCGAACCACUAUCAUUUGUCUAAUUUGAUGAUAGAUUUUUGGACGCAGAUAGAUCUCUUUACAGUACAUUCCUCCUGUCAUCAUUAGUCAGCUAGCUGUAGGGAAAGUUGGUAAAGUGGUUAAUUUUUUUUUUAUUUUUUUUGUCCCAGACCAAACUAAAUAGAACAAAGAUUUUGAUAAGAAUAAUGAGGAAAACAAAAUAUAAAAAUGGUCGUCGUCCCAACAGCUAGCAUUACAGCCAAGGUCACUUCAGGACAACCAAAUUCAAGGAGAAAAAAAUGUAAAUGGAGAAUGGAAAACUCCAAUCAGGUGUUGCUUCAAGAUGAAUAUAUAUAUAUAUAUAUGUAUACGGUGAUGCAAGAAACUGAUUAGUUUAGUCCAGAUUGUUGUCAUUGACUGGUCGGACAGGUCAUGAAUCAUGGGCCAUCAGAUCAGAGAUGUAUAGCAUAUAUAGUACUAAUAUGCUAAUUAAUGCAGUAGCAAAUUAUUCCACCCCUCUUGGAACUGAAUCUGUGAAUUUACAAACUGCUAAUGUAACAUCUUAAGAAGGUUCAUUCAAGGGAUCCAAACAAAUGGGAAGAAGCCUUCUCAGCUACUACUUGGAUGAGAGAAUUAGUGGUGAUGCGUUUAUUCGCAGUGAAAAAUCACCUUCCAUGUGAAAUUACCAUAGAUAUAUAUGAACCGAUUAACAUGCAUGUAGUGAAGACAAUGACUUUUUACCUAAAACUGAAAAAGAAAAAUACGAUAACUUUUUGGCUGGAUAGAUAGAUAGAGGUGGUAUAUCAUCACAAGUGACACCAGUCAUAUUAAAGAUUUUAUUUACAACAUUUAUACGUGUUUUCUGGUAUAUAUGGAAAUAAAUGCAUGCUUAGGAAGAUAUAUAUAUAUUGUAAUUUUCUUAAUCAUUAUAUAUGUAACCAGAUAUUAUAGUACUAAAUACAUAAUCAAUUUUGGAUUCUUUUAUUUAGUUCCAGAGGCCACACAAUAAGAAGUGAGCCCAAUGUCAUUCUUUGUGCUCUUUUUUUUUUUUUUUUAAUCAAAGAAAGUGUAUGUAAUUCAAGGACUGAGUGGUAACUCUAGAAUUUUAAUAGUGUAGUUACCCACAUUUUCUAUGUGCUUAUUUAUCUAAUGUUCUUUGGGGACUAAAUAGAAAAGAAAAACAAUAAUUUUGUAUGGGUAGGAAGACAUUUUAAUUUAUUGGAGAGACCACCUGACAACAGGUUGCUCUCCCUUUUGUUAAUAUAAUAGUACCAUUACAUAAUUUCAGGGCUUGUAGUCUUCUAAGUGAAUUUAUUUUUUUCUCUGUUGAACUUCCUUGAAUCCUUUUGGACUUUCUGGUAUUGGUACGUACGUUUAUUCCCCCUCCCUAAAUACAUUUCACUUCAGCUUUAGUUUUUUUUUUUUUUUUUGGUUUGCUACAAAUUCACCUCGUUUUUUUGUACGAACAUAACGUAUUUGAUAAAAACAAGCAUGGCAUUAGCAUUAAUAAAUCAGAGAAGAAGUGGUACACAUUAACUGAGACAACGUUUAGUAUCUUACAAACAAAUUGUGUUUCUUGCUGUAAGGAAACCCUAUUAAUUAAUCAAGUUACGGGAUUAAGGAAACCGAUCAUGAGAAUGAAAGUAUAUCAAUUUACUAGUCGCUAAACUGAUUGCAGCCAUGGACCAAAAACACUUAAAGAGGUAAUUAAAUAGUUAUUUUUUCAGACUCUACAACCAGAUGGACUUCUAAUCAUUUUUUCUUUCUGGCCGGGGAAGCCAAACAUAGGAACUUCUAUUAAAGUUCUUUACAAAGUGGACGUGUCAUAAGCAUAUAUAUAUGCAGGACAAACAGUUUGUUCAAAGUUCUUAAAUCCCAUCUAAAAUUAAGUAAUUUUUUCUGAAAGAAUAUCUUGUCAAGUUUCACUGAGAUUGUCAUUUUCCUAGAAGAAUCUUGUCCGGUUUUUUUUGGUCGGAAGAGCAGUUGUACAGCAAAGUUAUGCAGGCAGUGACAUGUGAAUUAGGGAAGUGCAGCAUGCUAUUUUAUUAGCUUGGGAACUCGCUCGCAUAGAAAAGAUUUGUAACUAGAUUACCAAAAGAAUAAGUUGACAUUGAUUUAAGAUCUUUCAUUUUCUUUUGAAGUUUAAUUAAUUAGGAUUCAUUAUCCAAGUUAAUAUUAUUAUACACUAUUAUCUACAAAUUCUGGAAUUAGUUCAGUGAUGUGUUGGAGACAUUGUAAUCUGGCAACACUAGAUUGUUCAGCUAAAUAGGCGGCCAAGAAAAAGGAACAUUUAAAUCUUAGGGAGAAAAGAAGGAAACACCAGAAAGGAAAACACUGAAAACGAAAGUAUUAACAGUUGCAUGAUCUAAUUGAUCAACAUCCGCAGCCAGCAAACAUACCUUUCGAAAAGAAAGUUUUCUCAUGAAAUAGAGCAUAUUCAUGUUCACCAUUUAUGAUUUAGUCACUAUAUAUGGUUGUUGCCAUUAGAUCCCACUACCAUAUUAGUAUCUGUCUGGCCUAAGAGGCUGCUCAUGGAUCUAGCUUUAACUGCACCGAGCUUCAUUCUCUUCUUUACCCCCACCAAUGGCUUCUUCUCAUCAUCAUCCUGUUCAUCAAAAUCAUUACUAUUAAUCUUGCUUGACAAGGAUUUCACCACUUCUUUUUCUUGCAAACGCGACAAUGGUGCAGUUAUUUCAUCCUUCUCAUUUGCACCAAUCUGAUUAGUCAUGGCACUGUUUCGAACGCUAGUCAUGCUUCUUAGCCUUCCUUUACCUAAAUGAUGCUCGCACAAGGAAUAACCUACAAGAGUCUGUUGGCAACACCUCCAUCCUCGCCCGUUAACGCGACUGCACCGCGAACCCUCCAUGAUAACGCUGCCUCUCUUGCUCUUCUUUGCACCAGCACUAGACAUCGUGUUCUUGAUCCCUUCAUGUCCAUCACCACUUUGUAGCAAACAUUUCUUGUUUGUUUUCGACUUCAUUUUCGCCUUUGUUGUUUCUUUGCUUGCAAUGUUAAUUGUCUCAAAGCUCCCUUUUCUUUUCUUCAAUGGAACAACUUUAUCCCCUUCACACCAUCUCUCAAUAACUAUAUAUGUACAUAGUGCAAGUGCAUGUGCAAACAACAACAAUAAAAAGAAACAACGAUAAGAUGAUUUGGGCUUGCGAUCAUAAUAUUCUUAUACGAUCAUGCUAACGAUAUGGUGCAUUUUUCUUGAUUUGUCAUGGCCAAAAAGGUUUACUUACCUGGUGAAGAAGAAGAUGAUGGCAGAGGAAACUGCGUAGUAGAUAAUUCUCCUUGAAUGCUAUCCUUCCUAUAUACAAGCAACAUCCCAAAAGAUCCACAACCACAGAAGAAGAAUAUGUUCAGCGCAAAAAUAACAAACAAGAAACAACGGAGCAACUCCAUAGUGUAACCAUAGAAGAAGAAUGAGUGAUAAUUGUGGCUGGGGGACCAGUAUUUUAUGCUAAUAUACAUGCACCACAUGGGGCAUUCUUUUGCCCUUUUGUUUUUCCUAUUCACAGAAAUAAGUAAAAAAAAAAAAAAGUAUAGCAGUAAAUAGAGAAUAGAGAGAUAGAUUAGAUUAGAUUAGAUGGCGAUGGGAUGGGAAGCAAUGGUGGCUAGCCAAAGCUGAUGGUCUGCAUAAAAAACACUCGUAACAGUGCUUCCACUUACAGUAGUGAGUAUAAUUUCUUUUCUUUUCUUUUCUUUUUUCUCAAGGAGGUAAGGGUUAAAUCAAGCUAUGAGUCUCUCCUCUCUCUUUUUCACCUUUUUACUACAAGAGUUCAUGAAAGAAGUGAAACAACGUUGAGUAACUUUUCUUUUUUAUUCUUACCUUGUAUCAUUACAGCUACACCUCUCAUCUUUAAUCUCCUUCCCUUCAAUUUCCUGCAGAAAAAUAAAGCAGAUUCAGCAUAUAUACCAUCCACGCAUCGUGUUUGCACCUGAAGCAACAUUUCUUGAUGCAGAUUUAUUUACCCUUGCUAAAAACCCCACUGAAAUUUCACUGCACCCUAUUCAUGAUAUUGAUCAAACUCACCUUUUGCUUCAACUUCUCUUCAUCAACACCGCUGUUGAGAAAAUCCCAUGUGGGAUUUUCAUUUGUGGUCGUGAUUGCUUGACUAUUUGGUUGCUGGAAGGGCUGAUUUUGAGGAUCGGGAUUUUUGGGAUUGUUGUGCUUUGCCUCUUCUUGCACCAUAUGAAGAUUCUGAUGGGGAUUUACUUGUAUGAGUGGUUGCACCACCGGUGACCGGUUGAGCUGGGGAUCUGACGGGGCAGCUGAAGAGAUUGAUGCUGAGGGAGGAAAACGUUUCCUGAUCCUCAUGGUUUUGUAAGCAUGAACGAUUAAAGACUCAAAAGGGGAAACGAUUUUGAUGAGAGAAAGACAAGGAGGAGGAAGACUAACUAUAACAAGAAUGGAAUUUUCAGGUACUGAUCUUUUAGGACAGGGAGCAAUAAAAGAGAACAAGAACUCUUAAAUUACUACUGAAAACAAAUUUGUUGGCUUAAUAUCAAAAUCUCACAAACAAGCUCCCUAUGUCUCUCCAACACUAAUCUCUAUUUGUUUUCUCUCUCUAACUUUUAUUUGUUGCACCACCCAACACACUACAAGACCACACACAAGGAUAGAUAUAACGUAGCAUUGCACAACAUUAUCGAAAAACGGAAAAUUGCAAUUUAGACCCACAGGUUUUCAAAUAGUUUCAAUUUAGACUCUUGUAGUAUUUUUAUAUUCAGCAUGAUCUUGUUUUUACGUGCUGUAAUGUAAUUAGAAUUUUGUAUUCGGUCCAAUAUUCUUUUUUUUUUCUAACAUGUUCUUUCUCGAUGUAGUUUAGAGUCGUCAUUCAGUUUAAAAAUUAUUUUGAAUUGAAAGUGAAUUCUGACAUACUAGUUUUCUUUUAUUCGUAUAAUAUGUGAUUUUAUUAAAUUGUUUAUCGUACUUAAGUAGGUUAAUUUUUUAUGAUGCAACAAGAACCGUUCAAAACAAGAAAAUUAAGGAAAUAUUCAGAGUGUUUGUGUUAACAUUGAAAAAUGAGAGGCAAAGCAUGAUAAGAUCACACAACAUAAAAUGGCUAAAUGUGUUGAAAGAGACAUGUGAGGGACUAAAAUGAAAAGAAAAAAAACCACACGAAGGGUCCAAAGCUUAAAGAUCAGUUUUCGGUUGUGUAUUUCUGGCGCACGUGUGAAGGCUGAGAUAGAGAAGUCAGGCACGGAGGAGCAGUGGCGAGGGAGGCAGUGACCGGCAACCGGAAUCGUGAGGAAAAGAGAACGGGUACGGAAGGUGACAGGGUGGAUGGAAAGAGAAAGAGAGUACUACAAAUUUUACAAAAUGAUGGGAAGGUUGGAGGUUGUUUUAACGUUUAUGCCUUUAAGAAAAAUUGUGGGUUCCACUGCCAACAACGACCAAGAUGCUCUGCCUCUCCUUUCAUGGUACCCUACUGCUAAUUAACGUAUUAAACCCAAAAAAUUAUCGUACCAUUGAACUUUGCAUCAGGAAAAUUUUAGUGUAUUUACAUCUAGACCCAAGGUUCAAGGUUAGAUGCGUUAGAGCCCCAUGAGAUUUGAAAGAAAGUUAUUACAACCCCAUGGUUACUGCUAAAUUAGUCCAUCAAAAAUAGGUCACGAUCAAACCCUUCACUCGAUAAAUCAACACAUUCAUUAGUAACAAUGCGAAACAGUACCAAAUCUAAGGGGAGGAUAAGAAAGAAGAGAGAAUUAUUCUCAUUAAUUUUCUCUCCAAAGAACCCGUUAUUGCCUUAAUUUCCAAAUUUAUUCCAUGAUUGGCUAUAUGAAAAGAAGGAUAUCUUAAUUCAAGAACCUUUUUUUUUUUUUUCCUCUCCUGCACUUCCACCAAUCUCUAUGCCCAAAACUUGCAAGGACCAUGUAAAUGAUUUUGUGAAUAUCAUGCACUUUUUUGGUAUUGAUGUUUCAAGAUUUUUACAAUACUCUUGUCUAAAAUAUGUAUGUGACGGUAAUUUGCAUCUUCCUGCACGAAGAAAGACACAAUGAGGGUAUGUAAGUGUUUUGCUUUGCCAUGUUCAAGCAUGCAUGUUUGUUAGUCUUGGUCAAAGUGAGAUCAAUUAUGAUAUAACAUUUAAAGGUGAAGAGGAGAGGUUAUACCUAAUACUAUAGCAGGUAUGUAAAAUAAUGGUGGCAACAUAUUUCUCUUAAAAUUUCAUAAGGUACAAAGGAAAAAUGGCAAUUGGUUGUAUCCUGUAGAUCGAUCUACUGUAUGUGCAUUGUUAGAGUAUGAUUCUAGUCGUUAUGCAAUCAAGGGAGAUGGUAGAGAAUCAAAUACUAAGUACACAUUUUUUUCUACCCCAUUUGUUCUUCUAUUUGGAAACAAGCUGAGGUAUUUUGCAGUACUAAUUUGGCUUGGUUUUAAUUUUUAUUGGGAUAAUAAGACAAUAGGAAAUUACUUUCUUUCUUUAUCUUCAAGUGAAAAGGAGUCUAACCAUCAAAUUUAAAACUAUCAGAAACUAACCAUCAGCUAACCCUUUUUUGUUUUUUCAAUAAUAAAUCACUCUUUGUAUUUACUUAAUUAUUGUCAUUUUGCAGCAUAAAAUUAUGUACGGUUCUUCACCUCAAACAUUUCAAUUAUACGUUCCUAAUGGGACUUCUUGGUUAAGUCCCUCUUUGCAAAAUGAAAUAUUCUAUUCUUGCUAACUUUGUAAAUUCAAUUGUAGUUAAAGAGGUAGCUAAGAGGUAGGUAGCUAAGACCUGCACGGAAAGAGCCAAAUCCAUCCAUUUGGAAUUGGAUUUUUCUUGUAUAAAUAGGAAAAGGAGAUAGUCAUCCGGCUAGAUUGGCAAAUAUUCUUUCGUAACUUGAAAGAACAAAUAUUUUACCAGGAAAUUACUAAAAUAAAGAAAAAAAAUUAAUGCAUAGGAUUUGACCAGUGUUAAAGCUUUUGUAAACGGCCAUGCGGACGUAUACCGUCACCGGCCAAGCGUUGACAUAUAGAACUUCUUGCCUAAAUUAUUAUAUUUGGCGAGAAACAAAUUAAAAUGUGAAAGAACUUUCUAUUUGAGUAAAAAUAUCAUGCCACCUUUCCGUGCUCGAAGAUUUCUAACCCUAUUAUUGCUUUUCACCAAUAUAGCUUGGAAUAACUGUUCAUAGGCUCGGUCGCAAAGCUACCAUCACAACCAAAAACCCGACUCAUCGAGCUCACUGCAGGAUUAACUAGUUUACGAAAUGAACAGGGAAUGAGGUUGAACUAACAAAAAAAGCUAGAAAAUGAUGAAUGAACAUGAAGACGAUUUGAUUGGUGGAGGGAUGAAUUUUUCGGGCAAUAAAGAAAGUCAAAACUCAAAAGGGCUGCUUUGAUGCGAUUCAUAAAUUAACAAAAAGAACUCUCAACCUAGAACUUUAGUUAGGGCUAGAAGAUAAACUAAACUGUUCAAUACUCAAAUCAAAUUUGAUUUCGAUUUGAUAAGAGUUUGUUUGAAUCUGGUUUGCCAGCUAAACAAACUAAAUUUGAAUAAGAUUUUGUAUUCGUUAAACUUCCAAAUUUGGCUUGAAUUUAGACUUAAAAUUUUUGUGUAAAUAAUUCAAACUACUCUAAUUCGAUUCAAGUUUGACUUGAUAAAAAUUUGCUAGAGUUCGGCUCAAUAAACUAACUAACUAAAUUUAUUUGAAUACAAUUUUAAAGCCAUUAAAAUAAUCAAACAAAUUUGAACACAGAGAUAUUUCAAUUGAUUAGACUUGUUUAUACUCCUAAAUCUAAUAGCAAGUAGUCCAAUCAGACAAAAUAUUUUCUUUUUGGAUCUCUAUAUAUAUGUAUUAAAACUCAAUUAUCAUGCAAAAAUCCUCUUGGUAGACAACCAAAUUUUUGAUCUCCACUCCUUUGAGGUUCUUGUCUUUAGAAUUUUAGUAUAGAUUGUUUAAAAAGCGCAUUGCUAAAUAUUUGAGAUUGGUUGAUUGUGGUUAUUAUGGGGUUUAUAAAAGAUCAAUUUAAUUUGUUCACAAUCUUACAAUGUUUGUGGAGAAUAAGGGAAGCUUUUUUUUUUUUUUUUUUUGAUAAAACAUCAUAAUGUCACUAAAAUUCAUAAUAAUGGUAGAAGUUACAUCAUCAAUGAUACAUAGAUAUCAAAGUACAAAUAUGAGAAGAAUAGAUACUACUGAUCUGAAAAACAAAUAAAAAUUAAGAUUAAAUAAUUGUAACACCAAGAACAUCCAUGCAUAUUUCCAAGCAGUAGAUCUAUGGUGAGAUCUACCAAAUAAAUUCAAGAAUUUCUAGAUUUGAUAAACAAAAUUUGAAAAAAAAAAUCCAGAUUUAAUUUAAUAUUAGGGAAAAAAUGACAAAAAUACCUAAAUUAAAACUCUCACUAGGAAUCCUGGGAGAGAAGAAAGUUCUUACCUGAAAAAAUCUAGGAGCGGAGAAAAUUCUUAUCAGACAAUUUUAGGAGAAAAGAAACUCUUAAUAGACAACUUUAGAAAAGACUUUAUUCACACAAACUAAAUGAAACUAGAGAGAGGUCCCUUUCAUGGGCAAAGAUUAGAAAAAUGUAUCUAUUUAUUUGGGAGCGUUGAAGGACAUUUUGACCUGAGAGUUUUAUAAAAGAGAAGAAAGAGAGUUUUAUUAGAGAAAAUGAAGUGUUCGCUUAAUUUAGGAACUUUGACGUGAAAUACCAGAAACUACUAGUGGAGUGCCAAAAUUAUCGCUCGCACGUAUUAAAUUCUUUUUCCUUUUAAAGUGCCAUGUGGUUGGAUUACAAGACACACCCGGAUGAAGUUAGUAGUUGAGAAUAGUUGAUGAUUGAAAAUACUUUAAAUUUCAGACUAAAGCAAGAAUUUAAAUAUUAUUUGAAUUUAUGUCUCAUAUUAAUUAUAUGUAUUAAUCCAUGGUUAGGGGGAACUAAAAUAUGUAUUAAAAAAGGAAAAAAAAAAAAAAAGCGGUUCUUGGGAUUAGAUAUCAUUCAACUGCAUGCAUGUCUGAUUUAUUCUGUGACUAUUCUGGUAAAAUAACAGGAUGAGAUCAAAUCAAUAAGAUCCUUAAGCUACCAUUCGCAUCAAGAUCAAUCAGAGAAUAUGAUCUUCUUGGUAGUAAAGGUCAUGCAUCGAUCCAUUAGCUUUAUGUCUUGUUAGUCCAACUUCAUCUUGCUCCACUAACCGCUGUUUUCAAGCCUAAUUUCACUCUGCACCCCCUAAACUAUUAUUCUUUCCACUGUGCUACCUAGAGUCUAGACUAAUUUUGGACACAACCUAAGCUUUUAUUUUGAGUAAUUUGGCCUAUUUAAUGACCACGUUUAGAAAAAACGGUGUUGAUUUUUUUUUAGUAAUAUAAUAGUUUGUAUUUCCAUAAUUGCAAGGUACUAUUAUUUAAACCACGAAAUGCCAUAAAUUUGUGAAAACAUAUUAAGACAAAAUUAAGGUGUGCACUUAAAGCGUCCACAUAUCAAGUUUGAGGGUGCAAAGUAGAAAUGGAUAAUAAUUUAGGUCGACACAAAGUUGAAUAGUAAUUGCCUUGGCAUGCACUUGAGAGAAUUUUGUUAAUUUACUUUAACACCAUUAACCAUUUUGAUAAUUGAAGGGGUGCAAAAUGGGAACAUUUCAUAAUUGAAAGGGGUGCAAAUUCAAAAGAACCAUGAUACGUUAACGUGUCUGUGCAUGUCCUGGAAAAGCUCUACUACUCAAGCAUUGCUCUAAUUUCCACCGAAAUGCUCCUUCUAAUUAGUGAGGGAACUAUGUACAAUUUUUUUUUCAAUGAAAAGGAGGAAAAGAAUGAAGAAUGAAAGGCAAAAUUAAAGGAAUUAGAUGGAGAGAAUUAAUGAGCCUGACUCAUCAAUUACAAAAGGAUUAAGGGGUUUUAAUGCUGAACUACAUCCUUUUUUUUUUCCCCUUGUUGGAUUAAAGGUAGAGGGUAUAAUCAAAUUUCUUUUUUUUUUUCUUUGUGAUUCCAUAGAAUUUAUAUUCCUUGUACAAGUAUUCUCUUUAUUGCACCUAAAAGAGGAAAGAAAAGGACAGUGCGAUAACCUUUGCUUGAAGGAAUUUCUAUUUGGCAGUGGCACCACAUUGCAUGUUGUGGAGGGAGGCUAGCAACAUCCUAGAUGUGUAUUACUCGAUCAAUAUGGAUAAAUGAUGUUGAAGCUCACUUGGGAUCUUGCUUUCUUGUGGAUAUAUGUCCACUUCAGGACUUCAACGUGGUGGACCUUGAUUUUUCACCCCAAAAAAAAAAUAAUGAUAAUUCAAUUCUUGGUGGACCUUGUGGAAUUGAUAAUUCUCUUACAUACUAAGGAAGCAUCUUAAUCUUGAUACUACUAUUUGGAGGAGUGAAGCUGCUGGCCUUUUUAACUGCUCACAAUGGAGAAUCAAAUGGUUUUCAAGUAUUUCUUGGAGCUCGUUUGAAUUGCUAUUAUUUUCUGAAGUUUUUAUAAAAAUAAAAAAUGUAAUGAUUUGAUGUACAUGCGGUAAAAAGAUGAAUGUAAAAUAUGUUUGGUGAAAUCGUAAGUAUUUGUUGAAGAAACAUUAUGGUAAUUCAAACAAAUUUUUAAAGCAAUUGAAGCUUGAAUAUUGGAAGUUUUCAUUUCUACUUUAUUUAUAAACCCUUUUCACUUUAAACGACAUGACAUUUUCUUUUUCUCGACUUUUAGGCUUAGAAAACAUGCAAGACACCUCAAGAUGAAGCAACUUGUUCUAGUAAAAAUGUCAAAUCCAUUGACCAAAAUAUGGACUAAUAAUAGAUUAGAUUUACUUUUGAUUAGCUUGAUCAAAGCAACUAAUUAAGGUUCUCUUGACAAAGUGGGAAAACCGUUUAACAUAUACACGAAAUCUGUCAUUCUUUUGCAAUUAAUUAUCCUUUCCUAGGAGAUAUAUGGCCAAAGCAUGAUCAAAGACUUCAGACAAAUGGAGCCGCCCGGUAAGCAUGACUGGUCCAAUUAAGCACUAUUUUGAGAAAAAGAAACGUUAAUUAAUCUUGUCCAAACUACAAAGUUUAGCCGACUGGAUGAUUUUUUACUUGCAGGAUGACCUCUACAUCUUUUUAGGAGUACAAAAACAGUGAAUUAAAGUAAAGGAAAGGUCAAACCACUCAAACCCCCCCCCCCUCCCCACCACACACACACACACACACACACACACACAUAUAUAUAUAUAUAUAUGUUGUUAACUUAUUUUGUUUAUAAACAAUCAAUUCAAUGAAGAGUCAAGAUUUUGAGUCAGAUUAGAAGUUUUCUUUGGCAAUUGGCAUUUAUGAGCAGCAGAAUUAGAGCUGGAACUAUAAGUAGCCGUCCGCUUCCUCCUUGUAUAUUUAUUGCAAUACUUAUGGAAAGAGGCAAUAAAAACCAUAUCAACAAGAACCAUUCCUAUCUCUUAUCGUUUGAAAAAAAAAAAAAAAAAAAACAAGAACCAUUCCUAAGCUUUUGGGCUAUAUUUGUCUACGGUAGCACUUGGUAAGUGGGUUUUAGACUAAAGGAUGAGAUUUAAAGUAAAUCAUAGUAAUACUUAUCAUUUAGUUAAUAUUAAUCGGAAUGAGUUAAUGGGUAUGAUAGGCUAAUUUGAUGAUUUUUUGAUUAACUGUUUUUUAGUAGGGAAUCAUUAUUAAUUACUUGCCCAUGUAACUCGGAUUUUUAAUUAAAAAUAAAUAGUUACAGAAUACUAGAAGAAAUUGAGAGAGAGAAAAAAAUUUAGAAGAAAGAGAAAAAGAAAAAGUAAAGCAUACAUCUAAAUUUUAGUUAUCAAAGACUUCAUGGGUUUCUACGAAAUUCAUUACCAUUAAAUAGUUAAUGAUAGUAAUAGUGAUAGUGAUUGAUAAACUUUUACCAAACGGUUGCUUAGUUUUUUCUAAAGAAUAAAAUCCAUUUUGCUUUUGCAACAUCAAUGAAGCUUUAAAAAUCAAACAGAAAAAACUAAAAGUUAAUAAAUUACAACCUUUUUUGGUCCCUCAACACAUGGAGGAGACAUUGAUCUGUCAACUUUAUGCUUCAAACAUGGUCUUCUUGGUUAAUUUUGUUAUGCUUCGAACAUGGUCUCCUUGGUUAAUUUUGCCCAUUCCCAUCACAAACUACUGAAAUAUGAGGAGCUUUUACCAGCAUGAGCACCAACGACCCUGCGGACAUGGAUAAAAAAAAUCUCAGAAACUUGUCUUGCCAUACAUGUAUCAGGUAGAUCUGGAUGAUCAAAACCUCUCCAAAGCUGCAUACUUCAAAUCUUAUUUUGCAUUCCGUUGAUUUCUGUAAUAUUAAUUGACAAUAUGAUACUUACUUGUUCUUGGGUCUGAUGUACAAGGCCUGCGUUGUCAUUUGAUGCAUUUGCUUUAGCAUUUUCUUGGCCUAAUUCCACCCAAACAUGAGAACGAAUUGCUGGCUUUUGACCUUUCUGUGGAGUUCCAAUACGAGAACCAUCUGAUGGAUUUUUAGCCGGAGUAACCACUGGAUUAGGCUGCUUUGGAUCGUGGACAUCUCCUUUGGUUAAAACAACAUAGGCAAUAUUCUUUGUUUCUUUAGAUUCCUGAAGCUGCACCUGAUGGAAAUCUGCUUCUUUGCUUUCCAGACCAUCAUGUAUAAAUGAUCUUUCAAUAUCUAUUGAGAAACAUGCUUCGCUGAGUUGAAAACUUGGAGUUGGAGCGUUGAAAACUUGGAGUUGGAGCAUACUCUGACAGCGGACUUGGUUGAUAAUAUUCUGAUUGACUUGGAAAAUUUUCUUGACCCUGCAAGCCUGCAAUCCCCUUCAAUACUAAGGCCAUCAAUUCGUGGCGCUUACUAUCAGCAUCUGUUCUUCCAUCGAUUUCUAAAACUCUGGUCUGUGGCUGCAAUUGCAACAUAGCUUGUGAAUUCAUGAUGGCACAAGAAAUGUGGACAUCAAAUACACAGAAGCCACAUCGAUAAAGCCAGCCACGAUGACUGGACAUGUCACAUAAAUCACACUGGAACUUGUAUGGUGGGGAAAAUUCAAGUUUGAGUGUGUGAGGAUGGACAGGAAGCUUAACAGAUAGAGGAGUUGCUAAGCACAACAUAUGGUAGAAAGUACCACAUGUUGCACAGUUGUAGUAAAAUCCAGCGAUAGUCUGCUCACAUGCCUCGCAGUCAAUGGCCUUGUCAAAGUCAGAAGGAAUGGCAAGGAGGGUGAGGUGAUGAUUUGGAUCAACUGGAUGCUGAAUCUUUUGAGGCAUGCUGUAGCACACUUGGUGAAGAUAAAAGGGGCAUUUUCUGCACCGGUAACCAUGCUUGCCAGGCAAUAUCUGGAGUUUGCAGCCGAAGCAGAUGCAGUUACCUUCAGGUGGAAACAGUCUACGUUCUAAUAGAUGUUCAUGACUGAAAUGUUGUAUUAGAAGCUUCUGCAGCGGUUUCUCCAUAACUAAAGAUUGAUUCAGUUCUAUCUCUUGUGCCCAUAUAAAUCUAAACCUAUAUAAUUUCUAAGUUCCCAACACGCGGAGGUGACAAGGGAUAGCAUAUAUUGUUUUAACCAAAACUUUGGUACCUAGUUUUUUAAAACAAUAUAGGCUGUAGAAUUACGUUACUCCUUUACAUGUGCUUCAAUCAGCUUCAGCUUGGCCUUUUGUCAUAAAUUAUUAAUCCGUAGCCUGUAAGGAAAACAAUCUUUCUUUCUUUGGUUUUUAUCAUCCUUUAACUUUACACGAGCCAAUUGUCAAUCUCUAAGUUUGCUUUUACCGGUCAUUGGAGAAAGCUAAGAGAUUCCAUACAGAAGAAGACAGGAUAUGCAAGCUGCUUGACGUCAGGCAUGCCAAGAAGAAACAUGAGAAUAUCCCUCCUAUGAUAACUCUUCUUGUUGCUUCAUGUGUGAUCAGGCCACCUGAUAGGCUACAAGAAUUAUUACUGACAACCAACUACAGUACCGUGCCUCUCUACUAAAUUGUGUAUUACCUGUAAUCUUCAUUAACUUGAUCUCUUAAGUUUCAUUCCCUUUCCUUGUUGGUAUACAUUGUUCUCUGUUAUAACGAGCUGAUGAAACAAAUACUGCUUUUCUAUAAUCUUUAGCUUGGAUGCUUAGUUACUAACCAUAAAAUCUGCUUCUGGAAUUUUUUUAAAAAAUAUAAAGUCAUCUGGACAAGAAUGGCCUUAGAUAAGAGAAGAGGUAUGUUAAUAUGGUGUUUUAACAGUAAAGGUUUGUUUGACUGUAUAAACAUGACACUAGGAUAAUUAGAUGCUAGUAUUUGCAGAUAAACCAAAAAACAUUUUUGUGGCAUGUGAAGACUGUUAAAAAGCCUGUCAUAGAUAGUAUUAAAGAGUUGCUGUCUGGUUAAGGAAAAUUCUGCUCACAAAAGUCUGGUACAGGACUUGCGAAAUUCCUUUCCAAAUUUUCAAUUGCAAGCUUAUCAAUGGCUCUAAAGUGUAAAUGUCAGAAAAUUGGCUUAUCUUUGCCUGUUCAAUGAUAGAGAAUGUUCGUCUUAUCUGACACUCCCCAACAAUCAAAACAUACACGAGCAAAAGCCUCUUUUUAGAAGUCUUCAAAAUGGAAAUAUAUAUCCCUGAACCAGAAUCUCGUAUGCAGAAAAACGAUGCACACCAAGACUUACAAUCAAGGUUAUAUACAUGAUAAGUGAUGAAAACGAUAAAAGCUUCAGCUGCCCUUCAGGUCAGCUCUUUAUCUCAGUGAUAUAGAAGUUUCCACAAAGAACGCCACUAAAGGCCCAUAUUGAUUACUGGUUCUUGUACUGAAUACAGACAAUAGAAAAUGUGAAUUGGAAAGAUUGAUUAAAAAAAACUUAUUCUUGAAAUUAUAUAAAAAAAAAAAAACAAGAAAUACAUGCCAAUUGGAAAGGAAAAACAAAAGCAUUGGUGUUUAAGCAUACAUGUUCAACAAAGCCAACUUCUUGGACAUAUAUGUUUCCAGUCUACACAAAC